GAAAAGAAAAUCAGUUGAUAGACAUAAGCUUGUUAGAUUGAAUGGCACGAUGACCUAUAUGGGUCACGACCUCAUGUAUUUAUAGAUGUGUAUAAUGAAGAUUACAUUCCAAAUC